AGCGAACGCUGGCGGCAGGCCUAACACAUGCAAGUCGAACGGACCCUUCGGGGUUAGUGGCGGACGGGUGAGUAACACGUGGGAACGUGCCUUUAGGUUCGGAAUAGCUCCUGGAAACGGGUGGUAAUGCCGAAUGUGCCCUUCGGGGGAAAGAUUUAUCGCCUUUAGAGCGGCCCGCGUCUGAUUAGCUAGUUGGUGAGGUAACGGCUCACCAAGGCGACGAUCAGUAGCUGGUCUGAGAGGAUGACCAGCCACACUGGGACUGAGACACGGCCCAGACUCCUACGGGAGGCAGCAGUGGGGAAUCUUGCGCAAUGGGCGAAAGCCUGACGCAGCCAUGCCGCGUGAAUGAUGAAGGUCUUAGGAUUGUAAAAUUCUUUCACCGGGGACGAUAAUGACGGUGCCCGGAGAAGAAGCCCCGGCUAACUUCGUG
rnacentral:rRNA from 1 species